rnacentral:rRNA from 1 species
UAUCAGCCUUUUGGGCAUGAUUCUGUGGAGCGUGAGGAGUUAAACGCCUUCAUGCCUGCAUAUUCGUGUACUUUGGGUGUACUUGCCUGUGUGGUUAGUUAACAUCAAUUUUGGUUAUCAUAAAAUGGUUGGAGGAAUGUAGCUUCGAUUUCGAUUGAAGUGUUAUAGCCUUCGGCAGAUGUGAUGAUCGGGAUUGAGGAUUGCAACGGAUACCCUUCGGGGCUACCUGUCUGGUCUCUGAUCGUUGCUUUGGUGCCGAAAGCGUGCUUACGGUUAUCAAAGUCGAUGGUCAAUAGGUUAGAACGGGUUAAAUUCGUUAAGGAUGUUGACGUA